rnacentral:rRNA from 1 species
GCAAGCCUCAGAGUACAUGGAAUAACAGUAGAUCUGUGAAUGGCUCAUUACAUCAGCAAUAAUCUACGCGGUGACGUGGGGGUUUCAACCCUGCCUACUGGAUACCCAGGCUAACUGCCUGGCUAAUACAUGGACGAAGAACGCUUUCUCACUUGACGCGCAGCAGCGGGGCGACUCGUCUGUUGCGUGGAGACAGCGUGCAUUCAGCCGAUACCAAGACCAGCGCCCGCAAGGGCAGCGUGCAUUGAUGAUUCAGGCUGUCCUGUGCAAUAGCAGAGUGAUGUACAUCAUCGCUGCUUGGCCGCACGAACUUCUGACCUAUCAGCUUAGGACUGUGGUGUAGUGGACCACUGUGGCUAUCACGGGUAACGGAGAAUUAGGGUUUGAUACCGGAGAGGGAGCCUGAUACACGGCUACCACUGCUAAGGUGGGCAGCAGGCACGCAAAUUGCCCAAUACCAGCACACCUGGUGAGGCAGCAACGAGCUGUAGCAAUUCCGCCGGUCCCUGUGACAGGCGGAAUUUGCAAUGGAUGCCAUAUCCAAACCCAGCAAUGAUGAUCAACUGGAGGGCAAGUCUGGUGCCAGCAGCUGCGGUAAUUCCAGCUCCAACGGCGUAUACUAAUAUUGCUGCUGUUAAACGCUUGUAGUCGACCACAGAACGUGGGGCUGCGAGGUGGCCUACAACAGUGGUCCUGAGGACAGCUUCGGUUGUUUGAUGGCCUGCUGAAGUGGGAACUCAACCCCUCGCAGUAUGCCCCCGCGUUCGCUGCACAUGGGACCGAUUGCACCUGCGAUAAGUGGGCUUCAUUGACCACCGACGCGGCUUCACCCGCAACGCGGGUACGGGAUCAAGUGCCAUUCGUGUCACUCCCACCCCCGGUGUCGUCCAUGGCUGUUACCGUGAACAACUCAGCGCGUCCAAAGCGACCGACUAUUGGCUGCAUGCUUCCGCAUGGGAUAACAAAGGAUUGACCAGAUGGGCUUUCGUAUUUUGCUGGCCUUAGUGUCCAUCAAGGGCAAUACGGUGCUGUCCCCCCAGUUAGGUGGCCAACUUCGGUUGCGUUCACCCGAUUGGUGGUGCAGUGCCGACCAGUAAUGAUGGGAGCGUUCGGGGUGAUGGGUAUCGAAACGCUAGAGGUGAAAUUCUUAGAUCGCUUUGGGAUCAGCUGCAGCGAAGGCGUUUUGCAAGGGCAUGUCCGUCGAUCAAGAACGAGAGUGUGGGGAGCGAAGAUGAUCAGAUACCGUCGUAGUCCACUACCGUAAACUAUGUCGGCUCGGCGUUGGCGGUGUAUUCUGCUUAUAAGGGCACCGCCAGUUCCACUCUUCUGCAACGAGAAAUCAAAGCUUGUGGGGUUCAGGGGGGAGUCCUGUCGCAAGGCUGAAACUUAAGGAAUUGACGGAAUGGCCCACAAGGCGUGGAGUA